rnacentral:rRNA from 1 species
UACGUAGGGGGCAAGCGUUGUCCGGAUUUAUUGGGCGUAAAGAGCGUGUAGGCGGCCAUACAGGUCAGCUGUGAAAACUCGAGGCUCAACCUCGAGACGUCGGUUGAAACCGUAUGGCUAGAGUCCGGAAGAGGAGAGUGGAAUUCCCGGUGUAGCGGUGAAAUGCGCAGAUAUCGGGAGGAACACCAGUGGCGAAGGCGGCUCACUGGCCCGGUACUGACGCUGAGGUGCGAAAGCGUGGGGAGCAAACAGG